GCCGGAGGGAAACCGAGUCUUAAUUGGGCGUUAAGUUGCAGGGUAUAGACCCGAAACCCGGUGAUCUAGCCAUGGGCAGGUUGAAGGUUGGGUAACACUAACUGGAGGACCGAACCGACUAAUGUUGAAAAAUUAGCGGAUGACCUGUGGCUGGGGGUGAAAGGCCAAUCAAACCGGGAGAUAGCUGGUUCUCCCCGAAAGCUAUUUAGGUAGCGCCUCGUGAAUUCAUCUCCGGGGGUAGAGCACUGUUUCGGCUAGGGGGCCAUCCCGGCUUACCAACCCGAUGCAAACUGCGAAUACCGGAGAAUGUUAUCACGGGAGACACACGGCGGGUGCUAACGUCCGUCGUGAAGAGGGAAACAACCCAGACCGCCAGCUAAGGUCCCAAAGUCAUGGUUAAGUGGGAAACGAUGUGGGAAGGCCCAGACAGCCAGGAUGUUGGCUUAGAAGCAGCCAUCAUUUAAAGAAAGCGUAAUAGCUCACUGGUCGAGUCGGCCUGCGCGGAAGAUGUAACGGGGCUAAACCAUGCACCGAAGCUGCGGCAGCGAACGUAUCACUUAAAGCGAUUCAGCGGGUUACGAUUGACGGAGCGAAGCGACGUCAAAGCGUAUACAAAGUCGAGUCGGUUUAAGGAUACGUUCGUUGGGUAGGGGAGCGUUCUGUAAGCCUGUGAAGGUGGCCUGUGAGGGUUGCUGGAGGUAUCAGAAGUGCGAAUGCUGACAUAAGUAACGAUAAAGCGGGUGAAAAGCCCGCUCGCCGGAAGACCAAGGGUUCCUGUCCAACGUUAAUCGGGGCAGGGUGAGUCGACCCCUAAGGCGAGGCCGAAAGGCGUAGUCGAUGGGAAACGGGUUAAUAUUCCCGUACUUGGUGUUACUGCGAAGGGGGGACGGAGAAGGCUAUGUUGGCCGGGCGACGGUU
rnacentral:rRNA from 1 species